rnacentral:rRNA from 1 species
CCUACGGGAGGCAACAGUAGGGAAUAUUGCUCAAUGGGGGAAACCCUGAAGCAGCAACGCCGCGUGGAGGAUGAAGGUUUUCGGAUUGUAAACUCCUUUUGUUAGAGAAGAUAAUGACGGUAUCUAACGAAUAAGCACCGGCUAACUCCGUGCCAGCAGCCGCGGUAAUACGGAGGGCGCAAGCGUUACUCGGAAUCACUGGGCGUAAAGAGCGCGUAGGCGGGAUAGCAAGUCAGAUGUGAAAUCCUAUGGCUUAACCAUAGAACUGCAUUUGAAACUGUUAUUCUAGAGUAUGGGAGAGGUAGGUGGAAUGCUUGGUGUAGGGGUGAAAUCCGUAGAGAUCAAGCGGAAUACUCAUUGCGAAGGCGACCUGCUAGAACAUAACUGACGCUGAUGCGCGAAAGCGUGGGGAGCGAACAGGAUUAGAUACCCUUGUAGUC